rnacentral:rRNA from 1 species
CAGCAGCCGCGGUAAUACGAAGGGUGCAAGCGUUACUCGGAAUUACUGGGCGUAAAGCGUGCGUAGGUGGUGGUUUAAGUCCGUUGUGAAAGCCCUGGGCUCAACCUGGGAAUUGCAGUGGAUACUGGAUCACUAGAGUGUGGUAGAGGAUAGUGGAAUUUCCGGUGUAGCAGUGAAAUGCGUAGAGAUCGGAAGGAACAUCUGUGGCGAAGGCGACUAUCUGGGCCAACACUGACACUGAGGCACGAAAGCGUGGGGAGCAAACAGGAUUAGAGACCCGCGUAGUCCCUGUCUCUUAUAC